UCCCUGGUGGCUCAAAUGGUAAUGAAUCUGCCUGCAAUGCAGGAGACCCAGGUUCGAUCUCUGGGUAGGGAA
rnacentral:tRNA from 1 species